UACGGGGGGAGCAAGCGUUGUUCGGAUUCAUUGGGCGUAAAGGGUGCGUAGGCGGCGCGGUAAGUCGGGUGUGAAAUCUCGGAGCUUAACUCCGAAAUGGCAUUGGAAACUACCUUGCUCGAGGGUUGGAGGGGGGACUGGAAUACUUGGUGUAGCAGUGAAAUGCGUAGAUAUCAAGUGGAACACCAGUGGCGAAGGCGAGUCCCUGGACAACUCCUGACACUGAGGCACGAAAGCUAGGGGAGCAAACAGG
rnacentral:rRNA from 1 species